AUUGAACGCUGGCGGCAUGCCUUACACAUGCAAGUCGAGCGGCAGCGCGGGGGCAACCCUGGCGGCGAGCGGCGAACGGGUGAGUAAUAUAUCGGAACGUGUCCUGUAGCGGGGGAUAACCUAUCGAAAGAUGGACUAAUACGGCAUACGACCUACGGGUGAAAGCGGAGGCACGCAAGGAUUCGCACUAUAGGAGCGGCCGAAGUCGGAUUAGCUAGUUGGCGGGGUAAAAGCCCACCAAGGCGACGAUCCGUAGCUGGUCUGAGAGGACGACCAGCCACACUGGAACUGGUACACGGUCCAGACUCCUACGGGAGGCAGCAGUAGGGAAUUUUGGACAAUGGGCGCAAGCUUGAUCCAGCCAUGCCGCGUGAGUGAAGAAGGCCUUCGGGUCGUAAAGCUCUUUCGGCGGGGACGAAAUGGUUCGUGCUAAUACCACGGACUGAUGACGGUACCCGAAGAAGAAGCACCGGCUAACUACGUGCCAGCAGCCGCAGUAA
rnacentral:rRNA from 1 species